rnacentral:miRNA from 1 species
UAGAUUAUAAUAGGUUUUGUUUGUGGAAACACCACGUAAAUUUAUUACAGUAAUAAAUUUACGUGGUGUUUCCACAAACAAAACCUAUUAUAUUUUAUCACC